GGACAGGUGAAGACAGAUCCAGCAAAGGUCAAAGCAGUGCAGGGAUGGCCCGUUCCUCAGCCAUGAAGGGAACUCUCCUGCUUCCUUGGGUUCGCUAACUUUUACCGAUACUUCAUCAGAAACUACAGUCAAGUUGCUGCUCCCUUCACUCGUCUCACCUCCUCUAAGGUACCAUUCACCUGGCCCUGGGAGGCCCACACUGUCUUCACUAAAUUAAAGCAGCUAUUCGCCUCUGCCCCAUUCUAAUUCACCCAGGUACUAAUAAGCAGUUCAUUGUGGACGUCGACGCAUCAGACGUAGCAGUAGGGGCACUGCUAUCCCACAGAUGCGAACCUCAAGGCUCUCAGAAUACCAAGCCAGAAGCACUUUCCCGCCAGUAUUCCUCGGAUAAUGAACAAUCCUUCCCCAGCUCCCAUUCUACCUGCCACCUGCAGGGUGGGUGCUCUCACCUGGGAUAUUGAGGAGGUCAGAACCCCAAAGUUUUUUUUAUCAGCGUAUGUGGCCUAUAUCAGAAAUAUUUCUUAGUAUUCCUGUGUUUCUGUAUUUGAGUAAUUAGCUUUUCUUGUUACCUUGUAUUCAUGUUUCUGUUUGUGUACUAAAAGUCUUCAUGUUUU